UGACCAACAACUCCUAUCCCUACCUCCUCGCGGUACCGGCCGGAAACUAUGAGCAACCUUAGGGAAGAUCGGGUAACCAACCCCGGUGGGAACUUUGGUCAUAGGCUGACAGGGAAGC
rfam:Aedes albopictus isolate Foshan contig99189, whole genome shotgun sequence.